UUGUUCCAAAUGAAGAUAACAUAGUUCAAAUGAAACUAGUGAUUAAGAUUUAUCUUUCGCCCCUAUCUGAUGGAACUU